GCUUCCUCUCCUCAGGGGCCUAGUGCCUUCUGCCUUCCGUCAGGCGUUUGGGGUUUAGGCUUCACUUCGGCUUCCUUCCCUUUCCUUUCCUUUUCCACUAGUGACGUCAAACAUGGCCCUGGCUCAUGUCAGCCCUGGGAAGCUAGGCUCCCUCCCACUGGCAUCGUCAUGGAGGGAAAUCUGGGAGCAGCCCCAUUGAGACAUCUCCCUGGCAUCUCCCCCAGACGGGUGGAAACAUGUGGCAGGAUAGUGUGGUGGUCUUCGGCCCUGUCGCCACAGGAUCUCCAAGGAGGAGGCUCAUUCUGAAGCUCAGCCAGAAGGACACCCUGCAAACGAUCUUUCAACAGAACCCCUACUCUGGGAUAGCGAGCAGAGAACGGCUGGCCUGAGACCUUGGCAUUGCCAAAAGCAGAGUUCAGGUCUGGUUCCAAAACCAGCGUAGAAGACAGUUAAAGCAGAGCCAAUCGCCGUCUGAAUAUGUGAACCAAGAAGGGGAAGGAGGGCCAACAUCCACAACCACACCACCGACAGCCCCUCCUCGACCUCAGUCUUCUUCUCCAGGAAACUCGGCAAGAGAGGCCUGGAGAAAGUGGACAGUCAUUCUCUCCUUCUCAAACAAGGUACCUUGUGCAAACCUUCACGAGGGAUCUCUUCCAGGGGAUUACCAACAGGAAAGAACUGGCUCGUCAUAUGGGAACCCCAGAAACUCGAAUCCAGAUAUGGUUUUAAAACUGAAGAGCUCGGAACCCACAGCAGAGACAAAGCGGGCCCGGCAAUGGCUGGGCCCAAGGACCAAGCAGCACAGCAGCCAUGACUACUCCUGCUCCAGAGGACCGAAGGGCCGCACCCGCUGUUCAGAGCUCCUCUUCCCACUAUUAACCCUUCCCGCCAGAGGAGAGCAUUCCACAAUUGGAAGAGGCAAAAUUGAGACCCAGGGAUCCA